GAGGGUGUAGCUCAAGUGGUAGAGCGCAUGCCUAGCAUGCAUAAGUUCCUGGGUUCAAUCCCCAGUACCUCCU
rnacentral:tRNA from 1 species